CAAAUUUACGAUAGAGAUCAAGUAGCGUUAACAGAGGUAUCUAAUUUAAUCUUUUGAAUCGUUUGCAUACUGUUUGUUUUAGUUUUGCUUUUAGAAAAGGUUUAGCUGUUUUUAGGCGUAUUUUGUCAUGGUGUCUGCUGCUAUAAUUUUUUUUUAAUGAGUUAUAACAUAUUCUAACGUUAUUACCUACAUAUAAAAGCACAAAUAAAAUUACAUUAGCUUCUUUUGUAUUAUGUAUUUCACACUUUAUUUGUUAUUAAUAAAUUAUUAUUUGAA